rnacentral:lncRNA from 1 species
UAGCUUGCACUCAGCCUUGCGAGAUCUUGAAACUAUCGAUAGGCUGGAAGACUGGUUCUAAGGUAAGACUUGCUGCCGUACCUCAGAGAGCUUCGGACCUUAGUUUCAUAACUACAGUGGAAUGAAUUGUGAUGAUUUAUAGGCUAGCAUGUCGGAAAACAAUUAGAGUUAAGAUGGAUUUGACAACCACAAAUAAUUAGCUGGUUGAUCAAUCUGUAUCUAACUGUAUGUUGUAACUAAAUGCAACAUUUUCAGUAGUAGUUCGGUGUGGAGUCUACUAUGCAGAUUGGCAACCGGAAAGAAAAUUAAAGAACAGAAUGCCAGAUGAUUAAGAAUUUAGACCUUAAUACUUGGCGCUAGCGCUCAAGCUGUAUUUGGAUAGUUAUAUUAUGCUAAAUUAUUGAAAAUGUAAAUGGCAGCCCACUAGUGAUAAAUUCCGUGAGCCUUGUCCUACUUUCAAAGCAUGUUAUCAUACCUUGUGCAUCCAUUUUCAGCUUUCGGUUUCUGAUAGUCUCAAGGAAUAUCCUAGUGUUUUUUGUGGACCUCUGGCGCUGAGUUUGUCUAAUAC